CGCGUUUCCCGCUCUACGCAGCGGCCGAUCGACCUUCGCGCCGCGAGCGCCACGGUCCUGCCACCUGCGGCGCCAUCUCCGCCUGGGAUCACCGUCUGCGGACGGAAGGAGGAGCCGCGAGGACGACCUGGCGGCCCCACCCAAACCGGUGGACCGGUCCACGGGGCCGGCCUUGAGGAAGGACCAAGUACAAUUUGGAGCCGCUCAGCUGAGAAGUGAGGAGUGCCCACGUAGGCCAGCACAUCAGGCCUUCCGCAACAGCGUGAUGUCCUGAGCACAUGGGCAGAACCCAAGACCAAUGUGCAGUGCCCCGGAACAAGCUAGAGUACCCUGGGUGAUAAUCAUAAAGGCCGCAGUAACAGCGAAGGCCUUCCAAGACAAAGGGAAUUUCAUAUAAGCGGCCCCUGUGAGAUCGAGGAUA